rnacentral:rRNA from 1 species
GACGAACGCUGGCGGCGUGCUUAACACAUGCAAGUCGUGCGGUAAGGCCCUUUCGGGGGUACACGAGCGGCGAACGGGUGAGUAACACGUGAGCAACCUGCCCUUCACUUUGGGAUAACUGCCGGAAACGGUGGCUAAUACCGGAUAUGACUUCCUCACGCAUGUGGGGUGGUGGAAAGCCUUCGGGUGGUGGGGGAUGGGCUCGCGGUCUAUCAGCUUGUUGGUGGGGUGUUGGCCUACCAAGGCUUCGACGGGUAGCCGGCCUGGGAGGGUGACCGGCCACCCGGGGACUGCGAGACGGCCCAGACUCCUACGGGAGGCAGCGGUGGGGAAUAUUGGACAACGGGCGCAAGCGUGAUCCAGCAACGCCGCGUGCGGGAUGACGGCCUUCGGGUUGUGAACCUCUUUCGCCUGCGACGAAGCGAGAGUGACGGUAGCAGGUAAAGAAGCACCGGCCAACUACGUG